rnacentral:tRNA from 1 species
GGCGCAAUAGCCAAGUGGAAACGCAGCAGACUAGAAGUCUGUUCCCUUCAGAGGGCGUAGGCUCGAAACCUACUGGCGUCG